rnacentral:tRNA from 1 species
GUAGUCGUGGCCCAAGUGGUUAAAGUGAUGGACUAGAAAUCCAUUGGGGUCUCCUCACGCAGGUUAGUAUCCUGCCAACUGUG